AGUCCCUGAAGGGCUAUGUGGGCCGCUUUAACAUGGCUAACUAGAAGUACACAAUUUUGGUCAAUCGGUUAGUAUGUUGGCUUUGAAAGAAUUUCUGAAGUGCUAGUUUCACUUCUUUUUAGAAAAGAGAUAUCUGAAGGACUUUGCCAAGAUGUUAACUCAAACAAAGAAGUAUGCUAAUACUAAGAAAGCCUAUGAACUACAUGGAGGCUCCCCAGAGAGAUCUGUAGAGCAAGAAGGAACAAAGGGAAGAAGGACAACCUGAAGAAGGACAAACUGAUAAGGAGUUUGUGAAGGUCCCAAACUCCCCCAUGGGCUUGUCAAUCUAGGACCCCACCUCGAGGUUAGUGGUUGUGCUCUUUACCAUGGCAGUAUGCCACUUACACUCCUCUGAACAUCCCAAGAGCUCAUAUCUUGAUGGAAAUCAAGAACAAUGGGCAGCUAUUGAGGCCAAGGAGGGUGCACAUCCUAUUGACAUGAUGUGAUCCGAAAAAAUACUAUCUGUACCAUCAAGAUCAUGGCAUGAUAUCGAAGAAUACAUUCAGCUCCAAGAUGAGAUUGAAGAGCUCAUUUCAUGUGAGUGCCUUGACAAAUAUCUCAGAGAUC
rnacentral:lncRNA from 1 species